rnacentral:rRNA from 1 species
AUUGAACGCUGGCGGCGUGCUUAACACAUGCAAGUCGAACGAGAAGCUUUCACAUGAUUUCUUCGGAUUGAUUAUGAGGGCUGAAAGUGGCGAACGGGUGAGUAACGCGUGGGUAACCAACCUUAAACUGGGGGACAACACAGGGAAACUUGUGCUAAUACCGCAUAUAUGCAGACGUGGCAUCAUGACUGCAGGAAAGGCUUCGGCCGGUUUAAGACGGACCCGCGUCCGAUUAGUUAGUUGGUAGGGUAACGGCCUACCAAGACUACGAUUGGUAGCCGGGCUGAGAGGCUGAACGGCCACAUUGGGACUGAGACACGGCCCAGACUCCUACGGGUGGCUG